rfam:Chelativorans sp. BNC1, complete genome.
CCGUUUAACUCGCUCCUGCGCGACAGGGGCUACGGGAG